UGCAGUCGAGCGGAACGAGAAGUAGCUUGCUACUUCGGCGUCGAGCGGCGGACGGGUGAGUAAUGCCUAGGAAGUUGCCCAGUAGAGGGGGAUAACCAUUGGAAACGAUGGCUAAUACCGCAUAAUCUCUUUGGAGCAAAGCAGGGGACCUUCGGGCCUUGUGCUAUUGGAUACGCCUAGGUGGGAUUAGCUAGUUGGUGAGGUAAUGGCUCACCAAGGCGACGAUCCCUAGCUGGUCUGAGAGGAUGAUCAGCCACACUGGAACUGAGACACGGUCCAGACUCCUACGGGAGGCAGCAGUGGGGAAUAUUGCACAAUGGGCGAAAGCCUGAUGCAGCCAUGCCGCGUGUAUGAAGAAGGCCUUCGGGUUGUAAAGUACUUUCAGUCGUGAGGAAGGGGGUAAGUUUAAUACGCUUAUCUCUUGACGUUAGCGACAGAAGAAGCACCGGCUAACUCCGUGCCAGCAGCCGCGGUAAUACGGAGGGUGCGAGCGUUAAUCGGAAUUACUGGGCGUAAAGCGCAUGCAGGUGGUUCGUUAAGUCAGAUGUGAAAGCCCGGGGCUCAACCUCGGAACUGCAU
rnacentral:rRNA from 1 species